CCAAAUUUUAUAAAACUUCACAGUAACGAUGAGCAACAUUGGUAGAUGUGGAAUUUGGCGUUGGAAUUUCGAAAAUGUCUGCCGUUACCAUGGAAACAAUGCAAAACAGGUCAAAAUGGUCCAAAAACCUUAAAGUGGCAUUUACUUUCUUAAAAUGGUAGGUCAAAUUGAUUGAAACUUUGAUGGUAUGGUCCCUCCCAUGUACCAAUGUGGUAUAUGC
rnacentral:lncRNA from 1 species